CGUCCUUCCCCGAUCUGGAAGACUAUCCCACAUCCCUCACACAACACGAAAGAAACCAAAGCUCCUCGCGAUGGCCCGACGCGCCCUCCUGCCUCCUGAUGCUGCUCCGCACCGAUGCCUCACCAGCCGUGCCCUCCCCCCAGCCUCCUGUCCAUGCGGCCCAGCGAUGCCAUCCUGCGCACUACCACUUCUCUGGGUGCCCAAAUCCGGGGCUCCCUGCAAUUCCCGAGGCUUCCCGUGGUGAGCCGUAUGGAGGAGGAGCCGGCGGCAGGGAAGGGAGCGGGCAUAGCGUCGACUACACGUCACAAGACAAGCACGGAGGACUACGUCAUGCAGUCCAUGCUCGGCUGGGGGCCUAUCUCUCCACCAUCUGCCUCAUCUAAAAGACCGCCCACUUUGAAAAUAUCAAUCUGGAUGUAGCAGUUUCGCUGCCCACCAGAUGCUUGCUCUUUUGCCUUGGAGCAUAAGAAGAAAAAUUAUUUCAUCUAUCAUAAUAAUUACUGUUCGAUCCGUCAAUUCUAUCCUCAUGCAAGCAAUUUUUAUUUUAUUUUACCACUGUUCUGGAGAGGUUCAGCUGCCUUUGUCUGGUGUUUCUAAAUAUUUUAGUUGUAUAUACGUGCAGAGGUAUGUGCUUCUGAAGGUGGGAAGAUCCAAGACAAAGAAAGAGGGAGGGAGACAGGCAACAUGUAACAUGGAGAUGACCCAACCAUGCCGAAUCCGCUAGACGCCGAACCUUACCAUGGCCAUGUCCCCGAGGUGCGCCCUGAUGCUCUUUGAUGACUGCUGGUCACUGCCAAAACCGCGCCCACCCCAGCUGGAGGGACGGGUGGGCUUUACCCGCCGAUGCUCUUCCGUGAAGGUAAAAGGGAACAUGGUCUUGCCGUUGUAGGUUCUGCCCAUGUUGUUCAGGGAGGAGCAGUACAUGGCUGGCAUCCUCAAUGGGAGCCAUGUGUGCAUGUUUUUUUACUUUCUUCCUGAUAACUUGCUGGCCAUGAUGAAGUACACCGAGUCACCGAGUUUGUCGGUGAAUUGUUGGCCUCAGUGUAGCUCCUUAAAUCAUAUAUAUCGCCUCAUAUUUCUUUGUAUUUAUGCCAGGUAAAUGCCAAACCAGUCAGCUACCUUCUGGAUAUCAUGUUUUGGUUAUUUAACCCAGGCUGAAGCUGCUGGUCCAACAAAGAAGUUUAGAGGUGGAGACCAAAACUAGGGCCUUUGUGCGUAAGGUCUGGAGUUGGUCGAUGGCCAAGCCACAAAGAGGACAGUUCACUGUGGGUCACUGGUGUCAAGGAUUUCAGUCUGCAUCUCUGGUUCAGGAAGGUGAAUAGAGCUGCAAAAUGGGUACAUUGCAUGGUCAUUGACCUGGAGAAAAACAUGCACAUGGCCAAUCCCUGCGACAGCAAUGGAGCACAUGGGGUUGGUUUCGCAGAAGGUGUGGAUGUCAUCUUCAUUACCAUAAAUGUUGGCUUAUUCAUGACUGACCUCAAGUUUUGUGCCGCUGAAGAGGGUAAUGAACCUGAGAUCUACUAUUCUUAUCCAUCCUACAUGGGCUUCUACGCUCCUGGUAAGGUACACGCCAUUCAUUCUGUUGUUCCUCGUUUUAUAGCUUCCUUAUGUUUGCUUAGUUACUUGAUUCUCGUUUGCGAACAAUCAGUCGAUCAGUAAUAAUGCAAGUAAUAUUUGGCAGUUUGUAUUCAUAUAUAGAACUUGCAAGAGGUAUAUUUGUUUAUGCUAGACAAAGCUAAACAUAUGAAAAUUGGAAAAUAGAACUUGUUUUUUGUUCUGAGAUUUGACUUGAUAAGGACCGUCCUAAGUGGUUUCUCUUUUUAGUUCCGUUUGCUGAGAGCACUGGACAAUAAUUGUAAACCAUUGUGGUCUUUCACCCGACAGAUGAUUCAAAUUUAAUUAGGGCCUAAAACAACCCCUAGCAUGGCUCUAUCUUACUGCUACAUUACAAAUAAACCUCAGUACUCCGAUACACACAUAUAUGUACCAAAAUGCGUAAGUCAGCAGGCUUUUCUACAGAUCAUAUAUUCCUCACUUUAAUAAUAUGGUACAUUGUGUUGCUUCACAGAUUUUGAAAAUUGACGAUUUUGAUUCUAGGGUUCCAUAGAUUUUGGAAGUUGAUAUUGACCAUUGGUCAGCUACUUGUAAGACUAUACAAUAGUUCACUGCCCCGAUCUCUCCAAAAAAGCCCCCCCCCCCAUUCCUCCCAAGGUUUGAUUCCAGCCACUAUCUAUUUAAAAACUAUCGAACAUAUUUGACCUUUGCCACUCUCACUGAUAGACCUGAAGUGGUUGCCUAAGCGACACCAAUUGAGAAUGCAAGUGUCGCCGGUCGACAGAUUGGAUGAAGAGUGGUGAGGGAACUGAAGUCAAACUGCUCCGACAGACAACAACAACACCAGCACGCGCAUCAUCAUUUGUAGGACGCCAAGGUCGUGAUGCAGAUCAAUUUGUUGUGCUCGCCCUACUACAUUCCUCCAUUCAUAGGUAUGGCCAUGGUCACGGGUUGGGAUAUAACAAGUUGGCAUGACUACUAGCAUCUACUAGAGCAAUGGUCAGGCAACCUCGUGUGGUCAAGCUUGAGAAGGGAGCCGGAAAAUGAACAUGGUUGUCAUUUAGGGCAGAGGUUCAAGGUGCGUAGGGCAGGGUGAAAUUUCUCCAAUUUUUGGAAUUUUUAGGAGGUACGAAACAACUACCCUCUUGUAUAUAUGACAUCACAUUUCUUUUGAACUGAUAUAAGAUGACACUUGAUUUUUCAUGGUAUGUUGUCUGAAGUUGUUGAUGCUCCUUAUUGUGUUAAUAGAUAGAUUGAGAGAAAUACUUUUAGAGGUGUUUGAGAGGAACUUGUAAAUCAUAUAGUUCGUUUUUCUAGAUACUAC